rnacentral:rRNA from 1 species
ACGAACGCUGGCGGCGUGCUUCACACAUGCCAGUCGAACGGAAAGGCCCUGCUUUUGUGGGGUGCUCGAGUGGCGAACGGGUGAGUAACACGUGAGUAACCUGCCCUUGACUUUGGGAUAACUUCAGGAGACUGGGGCUAAUACCGGAUAGGAGCUCCUGCUGCAUGGUGGGGGUUGGAAAGUUUCGGCGGUUGGGGAUGGACUCGCGGCUUAUCAGCUUGUUGGUGGGGUAGUGGCUUACCAAGGCUUUGACGGGUAGCCGGCCUGAGAGGGUGACCGGCCACAUUGGGACUGAGAUACGGCCCAGACUCCUACGGGAGGCAGCAGUGGGGAAUAUUGCACAAUGGGCGGAAGCCUGAUGCAGCAACGCCGCGUGCGGGAUGACGGCCUUCGGGUUGUAAACCGCUUUCGCCUGUGACGAAGCGUGAGUGACGGUAAUGGGUAAAGAAGCACCGGCUAACUACGUG